rnacentral:rRNA from 1 species
CUACACAUGCAGUCGAGCGGAGUGUGGUGCUUGCACCAUAACUUAGCGGCGGACGGGUGAGUAAUGCUUAGGAAUCUGCCUAUUAGUGGGGGACAACAUUUCGAAAGGAAUGCUAAUACCGCAUACGCCCUACGGGGGAAAGCAGGGGAUCUUCGGACCUUGUGCUAAUAGAUGAGCCUAAGUCGGAUUAGCUAGUUGGUGGGGUAAAGGCCUACCAAGGCGACGAUCUGUAGCGGGUCUGAGAGGAUGAUCCGCCACACUGGGACUGAGACACGGCCCAGACUCCUACGGGAGGCAGCAGUGGGGAAUAUUGGACAAUGGGGGCAACCCUGAUCCAGCCAUGCCGCGUGUGUGAAGAAGGCCUUUUGGUUGUAAAGCACUUUAAGCGAGGAGGAGGCUCCUAUAGUUAAUACCUAUAGUGAGUGGACGUUACUCGCAGAAUAAGCACCGGCUAACUCUGUGCCAGCAGCCGCGGUAAUACAGAGGGUGCAAGCGUUAAUCGGAUUUACUGGGCGUAAAGCGUGCGUAGGCGGCUUUUUAAGUCGGAUGUGAAAUCCCUGAGCUUAACUUAGGAAUUGCA